CAUAAGCCCAGUGGGAAGAAGGGGACCUCCACUCUGUGGGGAGUGGAAAGGGGUAGGAGCCACUGACUGGAGACCCCUCCCUGCCUGCCUUCAGCAGUCUGGGAAGGCCACCUCUUAACUGGGUCCUCCAGAGUGGGACCUGGUGAGGCCUGGGCUCAGCCCUCAUGUGUCCCUGUAUGUGGGAGCUGGUGGUAUUGCAGCCAUCUCCUGUCAAGUGUGAGGAAACUGAAGUCUGAAGAGGUGAAGGAACUGGUCUGCGGUCACAGGGCUGGUAAAUGACAGAGAAAGGUUCUGUGGGACAAACACAUCAGCUCCCAGGCCAGGGUGGCCUUCCAGGGCCUGGAGAGUUAUCCCAGCCACGUCCAUGUCAGGCUGGGACAUGGAGCUCCAGGCAGGCUGUAUGGAUCUGGGGCUGGUUCUUAACAGUGAGGCAUCCAAGUACCCUUGGGAAAUUUCAAGAGUUUUGCAAAAAAGUGAAAGCAGUGCCAUCUGAUUCCUUCUGAGGAUAAAUAUCCUGAUGCAUUAUUAAAAAGUGAAGGAAGUCAGGGCUUAGCUAAAGGAGUCCCACAUCUCUGUGAAUAUUUCUAACAACUAGGGCUUACUUUGGUGGAGAGAACUUUCUUGUGUUGCAUGAAAAGCAAGCAGAAAGCUCGAAUUCCACUCACAUAGAGCAGCUCUUGGUGAAGAGAGGCCUGCAUUUCUGCGCUGGGAUACAGGCUCAGAGAUAGCUCCUCACUGCUCAGAUGCUAUUUUUAAAGUUGUGAAACUCAAUAUAUCAGUGGGGAGCAGUCAGGGGGGAGGGCUGGAGGUAGAGUGGCUGAGGCCUCCAGGCCCCUGAGGGAGACUCACUUUCCUGGGAAGAUAAAGCCACUCGUUUGGCUCUUGGCUGCCAUUCCCAGAUCUUUCUUUUGAGCCCUGAAAAUAAAUCCCAGGCCUGGUAUUCAGGGCCCAUGGUGGGGGCCACCGGUCAGAAGAGAAUUUAAUAAUUUACUAUGAUUCUCAUUUCAACCCUUUCUUUGGUUUAAUUAAUGCCGUGUCUGGCAGCUGAAGGAGAAUGCAUCUGAUAAAGUUAGUCUAUCAGGACAUGAAAAAUUGAGGUCGCGAAACGGCCUGGCCCACUGUCACAAAUCUAACAGGAAGUCAGCCUCUGCUUCCCCGGAAACACCUGUCAAGGAAACCUGACGUACACCAAUCACAAUCCUCCAACUCAGCUUCAGCUUGUUUACCUCACCUUAGAAAAUAGGACCUGCCCAC